rnacentral:rRNA from 1 species
UACAGAGGUCUCAAGCGUUGUUCGGAUUCAUUGGGCGUAAAGGGUGCGUAGGUGGCGCCGUAAGUCAGGUGUGAAAUUUCGGAGCUUAACUCCGAACUGCAUUUGAUACUGCGGUGCUUGAGGACUGGAGAGGAGACUGGAAUUUACGGUGUAGCAGUGAAAUGCGUAGAGAUCGUAAGGAAGACCAGUGGCGAAGGCGGGUCUCUGGACAGUUCCUGACACUGAGGCACGAAGGCCAGGGAGGCAAACGGG